GUCCACGGCCAUGCCACCCUGAACGCGCCCAGUCUCUUCUGAUCUCGAAAGCUAAGCAGGGUCGAGCCUGGUUAGAACUUGGAUGGGAGACCACCUAGGAAGUCCAGGUGCUGCAGGCA
rnacentral:rRNA from 1 species